rnacentral:lncRNA from 1 species
GAGCGGGGCGCGGGGUGGUGUGGCUGCGCCGGCCGAAUCGCCGGCUGCCGCGGGCUCGGCCCACCCACGCUCCCGCCUCCGCUGGCCCGCGCGUCACUCCAGAGGCGGGGCCUCGUGGGCGGUGGGGGGCGAAGGAGGGGUGCUGCGGCGAGCGGGGUCGGCUAACGGCUCCCCACAGGCUCGCCGCAGGUUCCAGCUCGCGCUUCCGAGCUGCUGCUGCUGGGCUGCUGGCCGUGUUCUCCAGGGUGCUUUCGGAAGGUCCUCGCCCCUAUCAGAUUUCAGAGAGGUGCAGAACCGGCCCACGCCCGCACCUGUGCUUGCUUCCCUGGACUCCACAGCGGGAUGAAAGUUCCCCUCGGGUCAUCUUCCAGCUGCCCUCUAAAGAUAAUCAUCUUUGGACUUCACGGCUCUUCCUUUAGAGAGAGAUCUUAACAUUCUUUGAUUAAAGGCAUCCUGCUCCUCCGAGCCUGAGAUAAUGCCUCUCUUCCGUCUAUCGCGCCUCUCUCUGCGUUAAGACCCUCAGUCCCUCCGGCUUAUGAACCAUCACAAGGACGCAGGGUUUUUCACUUUAUGCCUUCCAUUUGCACGAUGGUGUAAUGGCAGAAGAGCCCACACUGAUAAGGAAAAGUCACCACAGCACUGUGACAUCUUACUGGCCCUGAUCAUCUCUUAUGAGCCAGUUCUGCAAAUCCUGUUCCCAAGAAACUCAAGAAAUUGCUGCUAAAAAUAAAAUUCUGGCGAACUGUCUCAGGACUUCAAAAGGGACAGAACAUAAUUGCAAAUAAGCCACGACAAACGGUCAAGAAUAUAUCACCAAAAGAAAUAAAGCGUCAGUUUUCUUCCAGUUCCCUGAUGCAUAAUGGAGGAGUAGCUUCCUCUUCCUGCUAGUAAUUGCUUCUGAACGUGGACUCCUCAGCUUACUGAAGUUCCUCCAACUUUACAAGUUAACCACACCCAGGAUGAAGAGGAAAGAAGAGCUGCAUCUCCAAAAAGGAAACCAAAUACCCAAUAACCAGGCCAAAUAUUGUCUUCAGUGGCACGUCUGAAAACACUGGUGAAAUCAGAAACCUAGGCAGAAGAUGAUCUCACUGUUUUUAAAUUAAUUGAGAAACCAAAACAAAUGGAAAGAUAUCGAAUGCAUCUGGAUGGGAAGAGACAGAAUUGUAAAGACUCCACUCUUCCCAAAUUAAUCUAUAAAGUCAGCACAGUCCGAAUCAAAAUCCCAGCAGAGUUUUAAUGGAACUUGACUUCGUGUCUCUCACUAACUCAUUCUCUGUCUUUUUAAAAGCAAACUCGUAUCCUCUAAAUAAAAGCCUCUGCAGUAGCCUUGCAAACUUCUUUAGCAACCUUCUCAAAAAGGGGGAAAAAAAAGAAUAAAAUAUUCAUAUUAUCCAUAAGACCAGAGGCAAAUGAAAUGGACUGUGGUUGUCAUCAAAUCUGCCAGAAAGUUGCUUUUGGUAUAUAUUUUUGCCCACUUUCUGUAGUAAUUGUAGCCCAGUAAUGAUAGGGAAA